rnacentral:rRNA from 1 species
GUAGGGAAUAUUGGGCAAUGGUCGGAAGACUGACCCAGCCAUGCCGCGUGCAGGAAGACGGCCCUCUGGGUUGUAAACUGCUUUUAUCUGGGAAGAAAAAGGCCAUGCGUGGCAAAUUGCCGGUACCAGAUGAAUAAGCACCGGCUAACUCCGUGCCAGCAGCCGCGGUAAUACGGAGGGUGCAAGCGUUGUCCGGAUUUAUUGGGUUUAAAGGGUGCGUAGGCGGCUGAUUAAGUCAGCGGUGAAAGACUCCGGCUUAACCGGAGCAGUGCAGUUGAUACUGGUUAGCUUGAGUGUUGGAGGGGUACAUGGAAUUGAUGGUGUAGCGGUGAAAUGCAUAGAUACCAUCAGGAACACCGAUAGCGAAGGCAUUGUACUGGCCAACAACUGACGCUGAUGCACGAAAGUGUGGGGAUCGAACAGGAUUAGAUACCCCUGUAGUCC